ensembl:lncRNA
UGGGAAGUUAUGACAACUUUGAUAACUGGUGUCUGCGUCAAUACUCUAGAAAAACAACAUGCAUGGAUCAUGUUGUAAUAAUCAAAUCUAAAAAAUCUGACUGAGAUUUCACAAAGCUUUCAUGCACCGUCACUAUUAACGGGUGUGUGACUAUGGGGAGGGAUGGAGCUGGCUAUGACACUGCCUUUCAGGGGUAAAAAUAAGAUUAAGGACUUGCUAGUACUUGUCUAUGAUAACACUUCGUUGUACCCUCUACUGCAAUAAAAGGAAAUGCAUUGUUUAAUAAAAGUCAGAAACAUGAUAGCCUUCUAUAAAAGCUGAAUUUGUUCAGCUGUCUCUAGUUGAUCCCUUGUUGGCAAGCCUCUCAAGAUGUACUCAAAUAUGAGCUAAUUUAAUACCAGUGACAAUUUUUAGCAAGCAAAACUGAGUUUAUUACAAAGAGGCUUCAGUCUUUUGAUUUCUGGAGGGUUUUUUUUUUCUUUGUUUGUUUUUUACCCAAAAAUAAAUUUACUAAAUUAAACUGGUAAACUGUUAUUUUCUACUUAGAUUAAAACAUUUUUAAUGUUUUCUUGGAGGAUAAACAUUCACGAUAACCCACUUUGUUGUCUGUUUAAUUUAGAUUUUCAUAAGAGACGAACAGCAACUUUUACAGUUGAACAUCUGAAAUGUUUGACACUUAAAUUUCAGGGAAAUCGAUUAAAAAAGUUUCCUGACAGUUUGAUAUUUGGAUCAUUUAAAUGACCAAUCAGUUUAGUGUUAAUUGGCACGGAUAUCAACCUUUUGUUCAAUAUGUCACAGAUGUUUAAAAUUACCCUGUGAUGUUAGUGACCACGGUAGCAUUGGUUAAUGAACAGUCUGCAUACGUCUAACAGUGUACGUAAUAAUCGAUCCUUUAAAUAAUGACGGCAGAAAUAUAAUUUGAAAGCUAGAAACGUGACAAAAUGGCGGCUAAGCUGUCAUCCCUGUUGGACAACGUCUCCCACCCCAUGCAGCAGACUGUGACAGCACUGAGCAGCAGUGGGAGACUGCGGCACCCACGGUGUGGGACGGAGAGAUUUCGCAGGUCUUUCC